rnacentral:rRNA from 1 species
AUGCGUAGAGAUGUGAGACACGAUGCGAGCAGCCCUGCAAUACUGACGCUCAUGCACGAAAGCGUGGAGCAACAGGAUAGAUACCUGGUAGUCCACGCCCUAAACGAUGUCAACUAGGUGUUGGGUGGGUAAAACCAUUUAGUACCGGAGCUAACGCGUGAAGUUGACCGCCUGGGGAGUACGGCCGCAAGGUUAAAACUCAAAGGAAUUGACGGGGACCCGCACAAGCGGUGGAUGAUGUGGAUUAAUUCGAUGCAACGCGAAAAACCUUACCUACCCUUGACAUGCCAGGAACUUGCCAGAGAUGGCUUGGUGCCCGAAAGGGAGCCUGGACACAGGUGCUGCAUGGCUGUCGUCAGCUCGUGUCGUGAGAUGUUGGGUUAAGUCCCGCAACGAGCGCAACCCU